rnacentral:rRNA from 1 species
GACAGAGGGUGCAAACGUUGCUCGGAAUCACUGGGCGUAAAGGGCGUGUAGGCGGGAUCAUAAGUCGGGCGUGAAAUCCCUGGGCUCAACCCAGGAACUGCACUCGAAACUGCGAUUCUUGAGUACCGGAGAGGAAAGCGGAAUACCUGGUGUAGAGGUGAAAUUCGUAGAUAUCAGGUGGAACACCAGUGGCGAAGGCGGCUUUCUGGACGGUAACUGACGCUGAGACGCGAAAGCGUGGGGAGCAAACAGG